UGUUACUUGUAUGUAUGUUUUCAUUGGCAAUGACUAUUGAUAUUGGAUAAGCAAUUGGUGUGCUCUUCCCUGGGGAAGGCUGUUUCUCCCCUCUCAGCAUUGCUUAGUUACCUGUUGUCUUAGUUAGGGUUAUUAUUGCUGUGAUGAAAUAUUGUCCCCCAAAGCAAUGUAGGGCCAGGCAGUGGUGGCGCACGCCUUUAAUCCCAACACUUGGGAGGCAGAGGCAGGUGGAUUUCUGAGUUCGAGGGCAGCCUGGUCUACAGAGUGAGUUCUAGGACAGCCAGGGCUACACAAAAAAAACCCUGUCUCGAAAAAACAAAACCAACCCUCCCCCUCCCCCCCCAAAAAAAAGCAACGUAGGGAGGAGAGGGUUUAUUUGGCUUACAUAUCCAGAGUCACAGUCCAUUGAGAGAAGUCAAGACAGGAACACAAACUGGGCAGGAACCUGGAGGCAGGAGCUGAUGCAGAGGCCAUGGAGGGGUGCUGCUUACUGUCUUGCUCCCCUUGGUUGCUCAGUAGGCUUUCUUAUAGCACCUGGGACCACCAGCCCAGGGAUGGCCCCACCCACAAUGAGCCCUCCCACAUCAGUUACUAAUUAAGAAUAGCUCCUACGGGCCUUCUACAGCCUGAUCAUAUGGAAACACUUCUCAACUGAGGCUCCCUCUUCUCUAGCUAGUGUCCAGUUGACAUAAAACUAGCCAGUACGUCCGUAGUUCUUUGUGUAGGGCUGAGGCCAUUUGGGCUUUCUCCUGUCCACAUUAACAUGUCUGUUACUGAGUUCCUUGCUCAGCUCAUGUUUCAGCAGUCAUGUUGGUGAAACUAUGGGUAUAGCUUCUGACUGACAUUCCUAGGAGAUACUAUCUCACAGCAAACUCCCUGAUACUCUGGAUCUUACAGACUUUCCACCCCUUCUUCCACAGUGUCCCCCAAGCUUUAGGUUCAGGGGUGUUUUAUAGACACGUAAAUGGGACUGGGAUUCACAACUGCAUUUUUACUGGUUGUGUUUUUUAUGUAAUGGUGUCUAUCUGUUGUAAAGGAAAUCUUCCUUGAUGAGGGUUGGGGGCAAUAGUGACCAGCAGUUACAAGGAAAAUACUUAGAAUGUGCUUAGGGAUCAUCUUGGCUUAAUGAAGUAGCAGUUGUAAGUUCUCCUCCAGAAUACAUGCUUCCACUAACCCUGAGAUCCUCUUCUUGGCUUUCCUAGCACUGGGUCUACAAGCUCCUGGCUUUUUGUAUGGGUGCGGAAGGUGCAACUCACACAGGUCCUCAUGCACAAGCAGGCACUUAACCAACCAAGCCGUCUCCCCAGCCAAAAGAGUGGAGACUGGAAAUAUAUCUUUAAACAGCAUAGUGCUUCCCCUCAUGGCUAUCCUUGCUGCUGUCAUUCCCAUGGCAGUCAGUGCCUGCAAGGGAGCUGUUGUCCCUAGGGACAGCGGUGCCACUAUGUGGUAAUGUCUUGGUCAGGGUUUCUAUUACUGCAAUGAAACACUAGGACCAAAAGCAGGUUAGGGAGGAAAGGGUUUAUUUGGCUUACACUUCCACAGCAGUGUUCAUUAUAGAAAGGACUCAAGGCAGGAAUCUGGAGGCAGGAGCUGGGGCAGAGGCUACAGAGGGCUGCUGCUUACUGGCUUGCUCCUAUGGCUUUCUUAUGGAACCCAGUACACUAGCCCAGGGAUGGCACCACCCAGAGUGGGCUGGGAACUUCAUUUAUCGAUAGUUAAGAAAACGCCUUACGUCUUAUGGAGGUAUUUUUCUCAAUGGAGGUUCCUUAACAGCUUGUGUCAGGCUGAUACAAACCUAGCCAGCACAGGUCAUACCUCUAAAUCUAUAAAAGAUUUACCUAGCCUAUGACAAGAGUGAGGCAAAAGCCAGUUACACAGCAGCCCCUAGGUAGCACUGCACGCUGUAUCCUGAGAUAAAAGUAAGUACAUCUUAGCAGCCCAAUAAAAAAAAAUGUAAACUAAAAAUCCCAAAGAAUAAACAGCUUAAAAUACUUUAUUUAAACUCCUCUUACUGAUUUAAAGCUGCACCCUCCAAAAAAUUAUAGCUGUCAUAAACCUCUUUACGGGAGCUUUACAUCUUAACGGGGCUGAACCACGACCACAGCAAUGAAUAAUUGGAUAAGCUAUCCAUACCUCCUGGCUUUCCGUUUUCCCUCUGUAGAAUCCCUUUCUCCCACCCCCUCUUCCCCUGUGGAGUUGCAACCCCUUUUCCCUAGCUAUGUGGGGGAGCCAUUUCAUCCAAAGGCCCCCACGCACACAUGUACGCCUCACCUUUCCUGAAUCUGUCCAUGUUCAAUCGAAUCCAGUGCUCUCCUCCCUACAGAGACACAGACACAGAAAACGAGAAGCUUUUCUUCUCAGCUGUGUCACCAUAACCCUGCCAGUCUUAUCAUCCUGCCACUAUUCAGGUAGAGAAACUGAGCCUUGCAGGUGUUCAGAACACUUCCCACCAUCACACAGUACUGACAUCGAAAAGACGGACUUUGAAGUUUCGAUUCUGAUUACCUGGGGGAAAAAAAAAGGAUCAAUACAGCCCAUUGUUCUCCCACGCUGAGACAGGAUGCCAGUGUCCUGGGAUAGCCAGGAGAGCUGAUGCUUUUUCUCUUUUCCCCUCUGGAUGCUUAGAAAGAUCAGCUUAGCUCAAGAUAACUCAGGGAAAGGUUUCAGAGGAAGUCCGUGUAAAGUUAAGAGCCCCCAGGGUGUUGCGCACAUACAGGCUCUAGUGCCUGUGGUCAGGCAUCAGAGUGAGAAGGAAAAGGGACGAGAAGAUGUUUGUGCACAUAAGUAUAACAGCGCACCUGCUUUGAGGUCCAGAGAUCCCCUGAAAGACUGUGUGGACCAAAGGUGCUCAGCUUUUUUUCUGAUCUUAACAUCCAGCAUAGCAUAGACCCAUCCCCAGUCUCUGCCUUCAGAAAUUCUCUGCACUGGAUCUAAAUGAAAGCAUGCUAUUUUCAGAACUAGUAUUUGUUAUUUUAUGAAUAUUGUUUUAAUAACUAUAAUGUUAUUUUUUAAACCAUUGAUCUUUUCAUAUUUAUUUAACGUUCACAAUGUUUGAUAGUGAUAAAGGUUCUAAUAAGAAUUUCUAGCCUUCUGGCAUUGUGACACGAUGUUGUCAACUACAAAGAAGUGUUAGUCCAUAUUCAUAGCUUCUGGGACACACCUGCUUCUACCUUUGUUAUUAGUGAUAUUAAUAGUCUCGAUUACAGAAAAUCAGUUGUUCAGUCUACCAUGAAAGUAUCUCUGUGCUGUGGUUUAUCUGAGUUCACAAAAGAUGGUAGUCACCACGUCAUCUCCCAGACACUAGGUCUGACUUGCCUCUUCUCUUAGCUCUUGCUUCUUUUCUUCUUGACAUAAAAACCCAAACCCAGAGAGACAACGGGGACUAUUACAUACUUGGUUAAUCUUGAAUACAGAGGGGAAACUACAGUCAAAUAAAGUUACCAGGAUACUGAUGGAUGCCUACAAAACAAAGAUGCAAUUGCAGCACUGAAGGGAGAACCUGGGCAUGUCUGACAGUGAGGGUAGCUUUCCUGGCCCCAGGGGUUGCUCUGCAGACAUAGUUAAUCAUCUGCUGAGCAGUCAAAUCGAUGCCUGUGACCUUUCCUUCAGUUGUCUUUUCCUUGUGCCGUUCCCUCAAUUCCUAUAGUCGAGAAAAAAGCCAAUGGAGUCAUUUCUGUGGGGUGGGGGAUGGGAGCAUGCCUAUAAAGCACGUUACUACAUUAUGUGCUAUACAAGUAGAAUUCUCUAAUAAAAUUGUGAACAUAACUAUAAAGCUUAUCACUUAGAGUUUUUAACGUAUGCACAUAUCUUUAUUCAAUUGACUCUAGGUCCCGUUCCUCAUCUGAUAGAGGAUGUGGAAUACAUCACCCCUGAAUGAAGGGAAAUAUUUGUUUUUAUAUCCAGGGUACAGGGGCAAGUGGGAGAUAGAUGGUAAGUGAGCUGUUAAACUUUCAUAAUCAAGCUCACAGAGAAAAACAUUUGAUGUUACCUAGAAAAUAGAAUUGCUGCAUGUCUAUUGAUAGGCCCUAAAAUUGAACGUGAAAUACUCAAACCCCGAUGAUUGUCUAAACACACUUUGGUGUCACUGCGAACUGAACUGACUCUGUUAGGAAGUCUGGGAGCCAUCAAGUGGUCAUUGUGCCUGCAGGAGAGGCCUACACCAACCGCCUUCUAGAGUUUCUCUUCCAGGAGACAGCAAACAAUCCCUCCCUUAGCCUGCCUCUCAAGUUAAAAGGAGAUGGGAAGUGUGGGGCCAGUCAGGGAGCACGCUGGCAGAGUCAGGGGCUGAACUUGAAACCCAUCCAACAGAUAUGGGUCAAUGUAGACUGUGCUUAAAAGACAAACUAGGACCUGGAGAUGCUCGGGUUUCAGGAACACUGAAGUGCCUUGCCCCUGGCGGUCCACUGUUCUGAGGGCACUUGAAGUUUCCUUCUGGCUGUGCCUAUCUUGGUCUGGAAAAUGAUCAACAUAUGAGUGAGUAACUAUCUAUUAAAAGGGGCCGAUGAUCUUCGAUAGGUCUCCCCCCCAACCCCCACCCCCCAGGAAAGGCCUUUUUCACCUGAAUCAAGGGAUGAGUGUUCCCUCUCUGGAGAUUUGUAGCUCAUGAAUCUCACCCUAAAUGGUUUGCUGUAUCUUACAACACUUGCUGCAUAGGCUCAUGGCGCCCUUUUUUCUUUUGUAGAUGGGGCAGGGAUCACUCUCUUGGUAGCACAAUGGGAAGAGAACAGAGGAGACUAGCAAUAGGAAGCUCUUCGAGUGUAAAUAAGAAGAAGAAAGGCAGGAAUCCUGUAUGAAGACAGUCAACCAAGUCAACAUGCAUAUCAGACAUACAAUUCCCAGGAGCUGGCUAUUAAUUGUACACAUACGAAGCAAUUGGGGGCAAGAUGUGUAACUUGAAAUGGUUGUUAGGUGGUGGGACCACAUUCCAAAGGAGGGUUUGUAGAAUAUGAAACCUGAGACAUAAGACAAAGAACUGGCUACUUACUAGAUAUGCUGAGGUUGAAGUGGGACUUAGUUGGAGACAAGAUUAGUAAGUAUCCUCAGGUCUAAUGGAUGUGGGACCCCCUAAAGUAGUUGAUAGGGCCUGGGAGGGAAGUAGAGAACCCAAAUAACCAUACUAUGAAAGAGGCAGAAAUCUUAACAAAUCACCAGCAUUUAACACCCAUGAUACCCUGGGUUCAGUUCUCAGCAUUGGCC
rnacentral:lncRNA from 1 species